CUGAUUCUGCCUGCGUGGAGCGGGCACAGCUGUGAGAGCCCCCUAGGUACAGCGGGGCUGCAGCGUGAUCGCCUGCUCACGCACAGGAAGUGACGACAG
ensembl:miRNA